GAUGAACGCUGGCGGCGUGCCUAAUACAUGCAAGUCGAGCGAACAGACGAGGAGCUUGCUCCUCUGACGUUAGCGGCGGACGGGUGAGUAACACGUGGAUAACCUACCUAUAAGACUGGGAUAACUUCGGGAAACCGGAGCUAAUACCGGAUAACAUGUUGAACCGCAUGGUUCAACAGUGAAAGACGGUCUUGCUGUCACUUAUAGAUGGAUCCGCGCCGCAUUAGCUAGUUGGUAAGGUAACGGCUUACCAAGGCAACGAUGCGUAGCCGACCUGAGAGGGUGAUCGGCCACACUGGAACUGAGACACGGUCCAGACUCCUACGGGAGGCAGCAGUAGGGAAUCUUCCGCAAUGGGCGAAAGCCUGACGGAGCAACGCCGCGUGAGUGAUGAAGGUCUUCGGAUCGUAAAACGCUGUUAUUAGGGAAGAACAAAUGUGUAAGUAACUAUGCAUGUCUUGACGGUACCUAAUCAGAAAGCCACGGCUAACUACGUG
rnacentral:rRNA from 1 species